rnacentral:rRNA from 1 species
UGCAGUCGAACGGUAACAGGUCUUCGGAUGCUGACGAGUGGCGAACGGGUGAGUAAUACAUCGGAACGUGCCUAGUAGUGGGGGAUAACUACUCGAAAGAGUAGCUAAUACCGCAUGAGAUCUACGGAUGAAAGCAGGGGACCUUCGGGCCUUGUGCUACUAGAGCGGCUGAUGGCAGAUUAGGUAGUUGGUGGGGUAAAGGCUUACCAAGCCUGCGAUCUGUAGCUGGUCUGAGAGGACGACCAGCCACACUGGGACUGAGACACGGCCCAGACUCCUACGGGAGGCAGCAGUGGGGAAUUUUGGACAAUGGGCGAAAGCCUGAUCCAGCAAUGCCGCGUGCAGGAUGAAGGCCCUCGGGUUGUAAACUGCUUUUGUACGGAACGAAAAGCCUGGGGCUAAUAUCCUCGGGUCAUGACGGUACCGUAAGAAUAAGCACCGGCUAACUACGUGCCAGCAGCCGCGGUAAUACGUAGGGUGCAAGCGUUAAUCGGAAUUACUGGGCGUAAAGCGUGCGCAGGCGGUUUUGUAAGACAGUGGUGAAAUCCCCGGGCUCAACCUGGGAACUGCCAUUGUGACUGCAAGGCUAGAGUGCGGCAGAGGGGGAUGGAAUUCCGCGUGUAGCAGUGAAAUGCGUAGAUAUGCGGAGGAACACCGAUGGCGAAGGCAAUCCCCUGGGCCUGCACUGACGCUCAUGCACGAAAGCGUGGGGAGCAAACAGGAUUAAUACCCUGGUAGUCCACGCCCUAAACGAUGUCAACUGGUUGUUGGGUCUUAACUGACUCAGUAACGAAGCUAACGCGUGAAGUUGACCGCCUGGGGAGUACGGCCGCAAGGUUGAAACUCAAAGGAAUUGACGGGGAC